rnacentral:lncRNA from 1 species
UUACAGCCCAUUUUCCACUGUGCAGGUGGUGUGCAGGUUCACUUUUCUGUGAUAUGGGCCUUUUUCCGUUUCAUUAUCAGUUAUUUACUAUUCCCGUUUUUCCUACCUAACAUAUUGCCUGGGCUGUGUCCAUGUGCUUGAAUGCAUUGUAUGUGCUGGUCAUUUUGGUCUCUUUCAUAUUAGUUAUCCUGUAGGUUCUUGGCCUUAGUUCAAUUUAUAGGUGGUUAUCCAUGUUUUAAAAAUGAUUAGAAAAUUGGGAAGCUUACACAGUUACACUGAGAGAGAAAAUUUUAAUCCCCAAGUAAACUUCAUAUAUAUAGUUAAAGCCACUUGCUGAUGCAUAUACCCUACUAUUAUUCUGAUUAGAAAUCAUGUAGAAACAUGUGACAAUAACCUUGGAUUGAAUAAUGCCAUUUGCUGUGUUAAUUAUCAGAUCUGCUGAAGUCACUUGUAUCUACAUAUCAUCCCAUAUAAAAUACCAAAUAUUCUCAAUCACGUAUUAGUACAAUCUUAUCCAAUUUUUGUGUUAUCCUAUUCGCUUGAUUCUAUCACCUGAAAUGGAUCUUUUACUCUAGAAAACUCUAGAUAUCAUUUUAUUAUCUUUAAGAUAUGGCAUUUUUCAAUAGAAUGUUCUUCAUUUCAAUCCCCCCAAUGAAGCACCUAUACUGGAUAUGAUAUGGACACCUUAUAAAACAAAGAUAGUGGUUUGGCAAGUAUUUUGCAACUGAAUAUUAUUUCAUUUUCUUCAGUUAUUAGCAUGCAAUCUAAAAAGUGAUAUAUAGGUGUGUCAUUUGCCAUAUCUGAAACGAGCUUGUAGGAAUGCCAUUUGGCUUUUUUGAUAUUGGGGUGCCACCAAUUUUGAGUAUCGGUUUUUCAGAGAUAGCGGAUAGCACAUAAGUCUGUAGUAUUUGUAGUCUAGAUUUUCUUCCUAUUACUUUGCUGGUCAAAUAGAUGAGAAUUCAGAUCUUUGCUUGUGAAAGGCAUGUCAUUAUGUCAAAGAGAGGCUUAUUAGGGAUCCUAACCUAUGUUAUAAUACUCGCCCUAAGUUAAUUUUAACUAUGUAUUGUUGUUGCUUCUACAGGUCAGUUUGCAUUAAUAUUCUCCACUAUCUGUUGCGAUCUAUUGCGCUUCAGCUUCAACAGGUCAGUUUACAUCACUCAAUACUAGAUCAUGGUGUUUAGUUUUGAAAUUUUAAUUUUUGAUU